ACAUUAGAUUAAUGUAUACUAAAUAACGAUCAUUAUACCUGGGUAGGGGAUCCCCUUUUAAAGGGGGGAAGAAANAAGAACGAUAAGGGAGAAAAAAGAGACCCUUUUAAGAGGAANUAUUGAUAUUAAAAGAAUAAAACAGUAAUGAUAUAAUUUGUAUACUGGGAUCUAAAUGCAAUCACGCUCUUAUUCUCUCACGGUUAGUUUGUGAUAUGGAAAUUCGUUAUAAUGAUCUUUGUCUUUAGUAUACUAAAUGACUCACUAUCGUCAAUCAGCGCAAUACAUGUAAAGAUCCAAUGGGAUUUAAUGGUCAUUAAAGAUUAAUGCUGUGAGUUGAGUCUGUGUGUUGUAGCGACAUGACAAUCAAUUCAUAUUUUUAGUAAGUAAAUCGUACUAGAUACUCAUAUAUGUUACCUGUCUUUAUUAUAUUUUCAUCUGGUUGUAACGAUAAAGCUAUUGAUUUUUUUUUGUGCGAUAAGUCAUAACAGUAUUUGAGUUAAAGUUGUAAACUCUAUCGCGACUACAGCCUGACGAUGUAGUUAUUUUAACUAUAAUA
rnacentral:rRNA from 1 species